rnacentral:rRNA from 1 species
GACAGAGGGUGCAAACGUUGUUCGGAAUUACUGGGCGUAAAGCGCGUGUAGGCUGCUCAGAAAGUCGGGUGUGAAAGCCCCGGGCUCAACCUGGGAACUGCAUUCGAUACUGGACGGCUAGAGUAUGAGAGAGGGAGGUAGAAUUCCACGUGUAGCGGUGAAAUGCGUAGAUAUGUGGAGGAAUACCGGUGGCGAAGGCGGCCUCCUGGUUCAAUACUGACGCUGAGGUGCGAAAGCGUGGGGAGCAAACAGG